rnacentral:rRNA from 1 species
CGGGGGGGGGGCUAUACAUGCAAGUCGAGCGCGGGAAGCGAGUGGAUCCCUUCGGGGUGAAGCUCGUGGAACGAGCGGCGGACGGGUGAGUAACACGUGGGCAACCUGCCUGUAAGAUCGGAAUAACUCCGGGAAACCGGGGCUAAUGCCGGGUAAUACUUUCUUUCGCAUGAAGGAAAGUUGAAAGAUGGCUUCUUGCUAUCACUUACAGAUGGGCCCGCGGCGCAUUAGCUAGUUGGUGAGGUAACGGCUCACCAAGGCGACGAUGCGUAGCCGACCUGAGAGGGUGAUCGGCCACACUGGGACUGAGACACGGCCCAGACUCCUACGGGAGGCAGCAGUAGGGAAUCUUCCGCAAUGGACGAAAGUCUGACGGAGCAACGCCGCGUGAACGAUGAAGGUCUUCGGAUCGUAAAGUUCUGUUGUUAGGGAAGAACAAGUACCGUGCGAAUAGAGCGGUACCUUGACGGUACCUAACGAGGAAGCCCCGGCUAACUACGUGCCAGCAGCCGCGGUAAUACGUAGGGGGCAAGCGUUGUCCGGAAUUAUUGGGCGUAAAGCGCGCGCAGGCGGUUCCUUAAGUCUGAUGUGAAAGCCCACGGCUCAACCGUGGAGGGUCAUUGGAAACUGGGGAACUUGAGGACAGAAGAGGAGAGUGGAAUUCCACGUGUAGCGGUGAAAUGCGUAGAUAUGUGGAGGAACACCAGUGGCGAAGGCGACUCUCUGGUCUGUUUCUGACGCUGAGGUGCGAAAGCGUGGGUAGCAAACAGGAUUAGAUACCCUGGUAGUCCACGCCGUAA